AUGAGAUCGUGACCUGAGCCAAAGUUGGCUGCUUAGCCAACUGAGCCACCCAGGAGCCCCAGAAAAGCCAAUUCUUGAACAGUAUAAGGAUUUAUCCCAGGAAUGAAAAGAUGGUUCAUUAGGAGAUCAAUUAAGUCUAUCACCUUGCAUGCCAGGAGCUGAUGGUGUACUUAACGGGGAAGCCUCCCAUCUCAGACCCCAGGAGUCCGUCUCAGUGGAGGGAAAUGUGUGUUGAAAAUUCCCGCAGAGUCCCUAACACAUCAGAACCAGGACACGGAACGCAAGGUACUAGAAGCAGCGGGUGGGGGUGGGAGAGGGGUCAUGCUGAUCCACCUAGAAAGCCCAAGAAAAUCCCCUGAGAAAAACUAGCACUUAGUGUUCACCAGAGCUUGGAACAUAACGAUUUUAAAGCCCUGGGUCGGUAGUUUAGAAUUUGAAAACCCCCGUUAAUAAUCUAAAAGAAUGAAAAUAGGAAAAGGUCUUAAAGAGUAAUAGUGAUAGUUACUCCUACCAAAUAACAUGUUCAGGUAGAUUUCAGAAUCUAUGUAAAAACUGAAACCAUGAGGUAGAAGUAAAAAAACCUGGUUAUCUGCUAUUGUAUGAAAAAUUCCUAAGAGGACUUUCUAAACAUUAAAAGUAACAGAAAAAGUGGACUGUGUAAAAUUUUCAGAUUUCUUAAAGUCAGAGAACACAAAAGCAAUCAAUGGGACAUGUGAUUGUCAAGUAAAUCUCCUGAUAUGGAAUUGGAUUAAGGAGUAGGUGAGCCCUUGCACAGGUGGGAAGUGCAGGGGGUUCGCAAAAGCACGAGCGCAUGUGGUCCGUCCAUCUGGCCCCCACGGGCUUGGGAAGGAGACGAAAAGCACCUUCACGUUGCUCGUGGCGAGCCCGUUCCACCACCUCCCGAAGGGCACCCGGGCAGGACCUGAAAAGUGUUCCCACUUUUUGGGCUUCAUCCUAAGCUGGUACGGAGACUUGGUCACGGAUGUUGUUUUGUGACGGCACAUUACUCAUAGUGAAAAAGCACUAGAGCCCUUGGGGGAGAA